UGAUUUAAUCAUAUUGCAAUUUCCAGGUGGUGAAGCCCAAACUGAAUACCGCUUCGUACAUGAAGAAGAGCAUCAUGAUGAGAUUUAGGAAGAUGGAGCAAUAACACAUGCUGAGUUGGAAAAAUAAGGGUAACAAUGCAGUCCAUUUAAAGUUGGAAAAAGAUCAUCCAUAGUUGAAGAACAUGACAGAGAACAGAGGAGUUUCAUUCUCUGAAUAAGGGAAAUCAAAAUGCGUGCAGUGAGAAAAUACAUAUAUUUUUCUGAAGUGCUACCAAAUGGCCUCCCUUGAAUAGCAAGACUAGGAUUUAUCUUUUUUGGUGAGAUCAGUGUCAGAGAUUUGAGGAUUUGAGAAAUAAACCAUAUAUGAUUUCGUGCUUGCAGUGAUUUUGGCACCUGGGUUCACUUUGCAUGGAUGGAAUAGAAUCAGAUCCCUGGUGUAUAACUGGUGGUAAAAUUUUCUCUGUCUAUAUCAAGGAUAAGCCAGAUGCACUCAAGAACUAGGUUUAGUCUUUCUUGGGAUUUCUAAAAUUUGAAG